ACUCACUCACACAUAUUACACGUUUGUUUCAGCCAAACACUUUUAACUCACACACACAACACCUAAAACACACACUAAACUCACGCAUAACACCAUUGUUGAGGAGUUGGAGCUUUUGACCUCCGAUUUGAGCACCGAGACGAGCGCCGAUCAUCUUUUCGAUCACGUAUCUAAGUAGGUUGAGCUGAUGUGAUGAUGGUGCUGCAAUGAGCGGAGUCUCCAGGGUUGUUAAUAAAUAGUUAACCUGUCUAGAAUAUGUCUUCAUACAUAUGUCUAGCUACUUUCCGCUGCAAGAUGUUGUUGAUGUUAUAGUAUGUUAUGUCAUACUUUGAGUCUUAAGAGAAUGGUUGCAUAUGAUGUAUAACUUGAUUAAUGAUAUUAAUUAACUUUUAUGCAGUCUUUCAUAGACUGUUUUCAAUUGAGUAUUAAUGAAUAAAAAUGACGAGUUUUAUUAAGAUGAGUAAGUUUUACGGCUAUAAAUGACGCCCCUUUUCUUCCCCUUCUUCUUUAACCCCAUCCCUAGUCGUGGAUCACUCGGCCUAACUAUCCCUAGUUAGGGCGGGCUGUGACAGAGUGGUAUCAGAGCGAAGGAAAGCUCUGAAUUAGAAGUCUUGAGUUUAGUCUAGAAUGAGUCACUAGACUAAUAGUUAUUAACAACCGUGAGCUCAGCGCACCAUCACACCAGGCUCAACGAGGUAUGUAAAAUUUCAAAGUUUAUUUGACGUUAAAUUUUGAAGAGCAUGAUGUUGAGGUUAUAUGAUGAGUUAUGAUGUUACACUUUGAAGGUGCAUAGUUUGAGUUUUAGGAUGACAACAUGAUUAAUAAUGAGUUAUUAUGUUGUAAGAGCAUAUGUUGAUGUUACAUGAUGAAUCAUGAGAGCGUUUAUAUCAUAUGAUGUUAUAUGAUUGAGGAUGCAUAAUUAUGAG